AUGCAAGUCGAGCGGAUGACGGGAGCUUGCUCCUUGAUUCAGCGGCGGACGGGUGAGUAAUGCCUAGGAAUCUGCCUGGUAGUGGGGGACAACGUUUCGAAAGGAACGCUAAUACCGCAUACGUCCUACGGGAGAAAGCAGGGGACCUUCGGGCCUUGCGCUAUCAGAUGAGCCUAGGUCGGAUUAGCUAGUAGGUGAGGUAAUGGCUCACCUAGGCGACGAUCCGUAACUGGUCUGAGAGGAUGAUCAGUCACACUGGAACUGAGACACGGUCCAGACUCCUACGGGAGGCAGCAGUGGGGAAUAUUGGACAAUGGGCGAAAGCCUGAUCCAGCCAUGCCGCGUGUGUGAAGAAGGUCUUCGGAUUGUAAAGCACUUUAAGUUGGGAGGAAGGGCAGUAAGCUAAUACCUUGCUGUUUUGACGUUACCGACAGAAUAAGCACCGGCUAACUCUGUGCCAGCAG
rnacentral:rRNA from 1 species